GGUGGCUCAGUGGUAGAGUGCUUGCUUUGCACACAUGAGGCCCUGGGUUCAAUUCCUCAGCACCA
rnacentral:tRNA from 1 species